rnacentral:ncRNA from 1 species
AUCGCAAGGAUCUUUGCGAUGUAGGGGAUCAGAGGCAGGUUCAGGAUCAACAGAACGAGGUUGCCGAUGAACAUCGAAAUGAUCACCGCCCAGAACACCUCGGGCGUGUCGGUCAUAAGCCGCGGCCC